AUGAAGCAGCUGCCACAGUCAGAGGCCACUUCCGGUGGGCGUGGCCAGGUCGGAAGUCAAGGCCGCCCUCGCUCAGGGGCGGUGACAUUCAGCAUGGGCUGGGAGCCCUCAGAGGAGAAGCCGCCAGGGCAGAGUCCCGGGAAACUGUCCCCGGGGCACCAUCUGGACUGUCCCUUGCCUGCCUGCUCUUGGAGCCCAGUGACUUUUCCAGAGUCUCUGACGGUUCAGCGAGCUGCUCACCGGCCUCCUUUCCUGAGGUUAUCCAGGGCCUUGUCACAUGCUGUUCCCUCUGCUGGGAUCGCACUUCCUCACAUCGAACUCUGCUCCCGAUGGCCUGCUGCACGGUAAUUAAAUCCUUCCCGACAUUUUAGAUGUGGUAAAUAACUGCUAAAUAACACUGAAUCACGGAUAGGCUUGCGCGCACACGGGUGAAACGCAAACCUAUCACAUGACAUCACUGAACUGAGAAGGAGCCCUCAAAGAGAUCACUGGAAAUUGAAUUCCAGGCUCCCCUGACUCUGCCGGUGGAGACCCUGAUGAGAGGUAAAUUUGGACUGAAAAUACCAUCUGGGGGGCAGGUACAGUCUGAACAAAGGUGGCAUGAGGCUUUGCAGGUGUCUAACAUAAAGCAGCAGGAUUUCCCACACUGUGCUAAACUUCUUAAACUAGACUGGAGUUCCCUCAAACAAGUAAUGCCGCAGAUUACCAUGUCAGAGGUAGAUGCAAAGUAAUAUUAGAAACCUGCUGACCUCGUCAGGUAUUUGCAGUUUUUAGUAAUUUCUCUACUUGUGAAUCAGGUUGAGACAUUUUGUGGCCCAUCCUGGACUCUAGUUCCCAAGAUGGUUCUGCCUGCCUGGAUUCCCAUCUUGGAUCCACCAUUUGCUGCUUUGUAAUUGCUGUCAAAUAUGCCCAGCUCUCUGUGAAGAUUUCCUUGCCUCUAACAUGGUGUGAAAGUGGAAUGUAUUGUAAACGGGGUUGAAGGAACACACAAGGUAGCGUGUUUGUACCCUGGGCCUGGCUCUGAGACAGACAGAACACGUGUUAGCUUAUAUCACUAUUGCUCCAGUGUCCCAGUGUGAAUUCCAGCCAUAUACAUCAAAGUCAGCUUCUUCAAAAACUCAGAUUGGGUCUACAUUUAAAGCUGAUAAAUUCGUGACUUACUGAGUUCCCUUCACCCAGAAUAGUGGAGCACUCUCUUAGGAAAUAAUAAGCCUUUGUUCAAGUUAAUGGAAUUCUUGCCCUUAGCUGAAAGAUGUCUCCGAGUCCUUAGUAGGAAAGGAAUCUUUCUCCAAGUCCUUGAAAUGACUUCUGUAAUGUGAUAGCAAAGAUAGGCCUGGCCUUCCAACUCUGUCAUAGAAUACGGAUGCUACAACUGCAGCUGGCGUCUCUACUGCCAUGCUUUCCCUACGCUUCCCAACAACAGCUUCCAACCCCACUUUAAAGGCCUGGAAAACCCACAGAAAACAGCUAAGAGCUUGAGCUUUGUCUCGUCUAAAGCACGUGAUUAAAUUCUAGCUCUCCCAGUCAGAAGCAGUGGGAACUUAGAUGAAUUUCCUAACUUCUCAAAGCUCAGUUUCCUCACGUGGAGACAAUAACAGAACCCAUUUUAAAGGGUUCUCUGGCAACGCUCUGGGAGUACAUGUAAUGUUCUGACAGUCCAAAGUCCUUGUUUAGCUGAACCCUCUAAUAUUAAGCAAUGUCAUACCAGUGGGCAGUAUGGCUUCUCUUCAGGCCUCUGUUUCUUCAUGUAUAAAACAAAAGUCUAAGAUUAAAUGAUCCAAGUUCUCUGAAGCCCUUAUGUCUUUCGUGCUGUGGUUCCAGAUUCUAGAAUGUUCUCCAGGUUAGACAGUACUAACAAUGUUCCCUUCACCCUGAAUAUUCUGUUCAUUCCUUCCACCAAUUUCUGAAAAAGAAAAUAAUAACCUCAAGCUGCAUACUCUACAGACUUGUAGCAUGAAGAAUUGCUUUCUCUGUACUUUUCAUAACUGAUAUUUGUGAGCAAGGUAUUGCUAAUGGUCAUCUCUCCAUGAGCCCCUUUGUGACUGUGUCCAUUCUGCCCUGUGUCCUGUGGAAUCUUAUAACCCUUCUCCAGCAGGCUACAAGCCAUUCUGAGGGCAGAGUGGGUGGCCAAUUCCUCAGGCCACCUACUCAGCUGCCUCAGCCCUCAUACACAGGCAGCGCCCAGUGAAUAACAGUAUCCAUGUAAAGUAUAUAGUCACUCAACAAACAAUUGUGGAACCACGCAGAUUAUGACAUACAACAGAGUGAUACAAUCCCUGCUUUUGUGGAACACAGUGGUGUAGGUGAGUGAUGGACAUUUCACAGACAGGUGUGGAAUGGGUUAAUAAUAACAGCAAUAAGCACUGGAAGGAAAAUGGAAGCUUUCAUGGUGGAAUAUGUCUGAGAUACUUAAUUUAUGUGAGGGAAAUAGAAAAUGUCUAGAGGAAACCCUGAGCCAAUGCGUUUAACUCUCACCCAGAAGAUCCUCUGAGUCAGCUGGAUACAUUCAGUUACUUUAGUCUGGAGCCUGAGUCAGAUUCCAUAGGUUUGGUUCCUUCGUGGCCUUGACAUGGAGCAGGCCUGUUUAAACCAUGACAAGCUAUGAUGUGCUCCUCACAAACCUCACACUAAAUCAUUCGUCCCGCUUACUCCCCUCCUCCACCACCCAGCAGCCCACUGGGCAGGAGUGAAAAGUGGCCUCCUUCCCCUGGAAGAAGCAUCUCCUAAGCCCAGUAAAGCUCUUCCUCCGGCUCCUCCAGCCUACGAUUCCUCCUCCCUAGUCCUCAACUCUUCCCCACACAUCACACUUCACCUGACGAUGCAUCACACGCCACCCCCUUGCUCCCCUUUUGCACUCUUGCAGCUGCCCCAGCCCUAUUCUUAGCUUCCUGCAGAUGUGGCUUUUCCUUCCUUUGCAGUGGCUUCUCUAUCUGUGCAUUUGGGGCUAUGUGUACUUCCCAGACUCUGUCUCCCCAGUCUUAUCUGAUCUCAGAGCUUGGAAAUCUGCCUCUUUUCCCAUAGGCAGGAUGCAAGGCAGGCUUGGGAACACGUGAGGUCACAGAGCUGGGCCAGCAGUGGAACCCAGCUCAGCCACAGCUCUGCAGAGACCACAUAGCCCACUGUGGUUCCGAAGCUGUUCUGAAAGGAGUUGGUGGCAUUUACCUUUUUGCUGGCCAUGACCAUAACAACACUUGAGCUGUGGACUUUCCCCAGCAGUGAUUCAACAAGUACACUGCUCAGGGAAGGACACUGGGCUAUUUUAAGUUUCAAAUCAGCUUCUUCUGAACUGGGCUCUGAGCAAUGUAAAACCCAAGGAGAUUGUCCUGCAGAGAAAAAAAUAAAAGCUUGAGGCUGAGUUUUUAGAAAUUCUAUGUAAAUGUCAUGUACCAGGAAUAAGCAUUUGAAUUAUACUCAUCUCAAACAAUACGACCUUGGUUAGGUAUAAAGUAGGAACUAAAAUGUCAUGAAAACUUCAAAAUUGAGUAGAACAUAAUAAUUUGUAUCAAGCAAUAUAUGGUUAAGGGUG
rnacentral:lncRNA from 1 species